AGGGGCGGUGGCUAAGUGGAAGAGCAUCUGCUUUGCAUGCGGAAAGUCCCAAGUUCAGAUCUUGGCACUUCUG
rnacentral:tRNA from 1 species